UACGUAGGCAGCGAGCGUUGUUCGGAAUUACUGGGCGUAAAGAGUGUGUAGGCGGUGCUCUAAGUUCGGUGUGAAAUCUCCCGGCUUAACUGGGAGGGUGCGCCGGAAACUGGAGUGCUCGAGCGUGGGAGAGGAAAGCGGAAUUCCUGGUGUAGCGGUGAAAUGCGUAGAUAUCAGGAGGAACACCUGCGGUGUAGACGGAUUUCUGGACCAUUGCUGACGCUGAGACACGAAAGCGUGGGUAGCAAACAGG
rnacentral:rRNA from 1 species